rnacentral:sRNA from 1 species
UAUAUCAUCAACUAUGAUGUUUUAUAAUGUUAAGGUAUAUCCUGUGAUGGUUGAAGUAUGUCAUGUACUACUUGCCUUUGAUUUUAUAGGGGAUUAUACUCAAGAUAUUCCAUGAUUCUCAGAAGAGACUUGGGACUUUCAAACAUUGUUGUGGUGUGUUAGACUAUCGGGACUUUUGGAGUUGGAGUUAAUAUAUUUUGUAUAGUGUAAUGCUAGAGCUUGUCAUAAUCCCAUUGCCUCAUGUGUUUAAACAAGACUAUGAAUGCCAUAGACUGGAAUGUGAUUGGUGAGAUAUGUUUAGCCUAUGAGAAGUAGUUUGCAAUAAUCAGGCAUGUGGCCUUGUUGGGGAAGGUAUAGCUUUCCUACAGGAAGUGUGUCAGAUUGUGUCACAAUGGAGGCAGUGCUUUGAAAUGUCAGGAAAUUGUCAAUUCUGGGCAGAGUGAUCCAGACCAUACUCCCGGCUGGCUGUAAAAGAGAGUCUCCUAACUGGAUAAAGCUGUAGAACCCUUGGCUCCUCCAGCACCAUGGCUUCCUAUAUGCUGUCAGGCUUCCUGACAUGAUCGUAAUAUUAGGAAUUUACUAGCAGGGCUGAUGGUAUUGCUAUGGUAGGUCUGACCAUAGUUUUGUUUGAAGGAAUAAUUAUUUUAGGAUUUUGUAAUGGAGGGGAGGCUUUAAAUGGGGCUUAUCGGUCCAUAGGAUUAGAAGCAUGGAAGACAGUGUUGCUGAGAGUGAUUUCAACUGUGGGGGCCUGUCUCUAAGAAACUUCAAAGGAGAAGACUCAUAAACCUGAAUCUCCAAAGUGUCCCCAGAUAAUAUUAUGAUGACAAUCAUCCAUGAGCCAUCAAUGUCCAUAUUGAAACCUACAAUCAUUGUUGCUUCUGAAGAGAUUUCUAACGUCAAGGAUCCCUGAAGCCAGCAGAAUGUACGCUGAAGUUCACAGUCAAUACUGCAACCUCAGGUCAUGUUGAGAGUUCCACAUAUAGUGAGUUGAGGUCACAUAUAUACUGGCAACAGACAACAGUGCAUGUAUGUGAUACUUCAGGCCUCAGCAGCCAUGAUAUCAUUGAUCUCCACUGCCUCACGAGAGCACAUUAAUAUGAGUGUCUCCAACUGCCAGUAAAAUCAUUACAGAUAUCAGUUAUCCAUGAUCCUGUCCAACUUGUGAGAAGGGUUCUGCCAGCUGUAACCAUUUUUAUGUCAUGUUGUAUCCUGUCACUAAACAAGAGGUUUCUGUUCAUGGCCAUACCUGCUAUCUGAAACUAUCUUAAUGUCCCUGAUAUUCAUGGCAACUGACACCAUGGUGUAUCUCUGAUCCUUCCUGCAACUUUGGAUCAGUUGAUAACAUGAGAAAUACCGGCAUCCAAAGAAAAUACAUUGAUAUUACUCAUAUACAAUGCCACUGGUAACAAUACUGAGAUCCAUAGUCAGUGUUGUGCUGGAAAAGAUCCCUGAUGUCUUAGAUCCCAAUGCCAGAAGAGUCUAUUAUAAAGAUCAUUGUCAGUAGUGCUGCCUACUGUCAUAAUGAGGUAAGUACUGUGUUUUGUUAAUGAAGACACCAUUGAUGCCAGUGAUCCUACCUGCAACCUGAAGUUAUGUUAAGGUCACUGCUGUUUGAAGUGAUCAGCAAUCAAGAUGGAGUCCAUUGUUAAUAUCACUGAAGGUGAUCUUGGCGAUGGCUAUGAUCUACAUUGUUUCUGGAGAACCUGAUGAAUGCCAAGGUCCAUACUGAUGCAGAACGUCAUUUUGAGGUAAUUGUUUUGAGCUGGCACUGGAGAUCUGAUUGAUAGCUGAGAUUCGACCCAUCACAGUAAAUUCAGUUGAAGUUUCUGAUGCAUGCAUGUAUCCUCCGAUGUUGAUCAUGCAAAGUAUUUUGAUGCCAGCAAUCCUACCUGUAUCAUGAAGCUCUGUUGAUGUCAGUGAUGUAUUCUGUGUCCAGAAAUAAUGAAGGAGUACAUUUUUCAUAUUGGUGAUGGAGUCUCUGAUGAUGGCUAAGAUAUGUGUUGCUGUUCGAGCACCUGAUAAAUUCCAAGGUCCUUAUUGAUUCCUGAAUUCAUAUUGAGGAAAUUCUGUUGAUGUUCCUGAUGCAUGCAUAUAGGUCCAGAUGCUAUAUGUGCAAUAUAUGAUGAUGCCUAUGAUAAUAUCUGAAACAUAAACCUAUGUAGAUGUAAAUGCUGCAUGAUAUGAGCUGCAAUCAUGAUGGAGUCCCUUAUUCCUAUCGUUGAUGGCAUAUCAUAGUUAAGGCUAUGAUCUGUGUUGCUGUUUGAGAAUCUGGUGAAUUUGACAGUCAAUACUGAAGCCCAAGGUCAUAUUGAGGAGAAAUGUUUUACCAGUCUAACCGUUUUGAUGUCAUGAUGCAGCCUACCACUACAGAAGAGGUUUCUGUACAAGGUCCUACUGAUCAUCUGAAUAUGCAGAGUACUGGAUAUGCAUAAUACUUCCUGGCAAAAGUCAAGAUGGCAUAUUCCAGAUCAAUGCUGCCAUAAGCAGCAAGGUUAUGACUAAUACUUGCUGUCACUUUGGACCUGAUCGAUGACAUCAAUGAUCCCAACUGUCAAAGGAAGUAUAUUGAUGUCACUCAUCCAUGAUGCUACUGGUGAUCAUGUUGAAAUCCAAAGUCAGUGUUUUCAUGGAAGUAUUCCCCGAUGUGUGAGAUCUCUGAGACAGCAGAGUCUUUCGUGAAGUUCAUGAUCAGUAGUGAUGCCCAAGGUCAUAAUGAGGUAAGUGUUGUGUGCUGCUACAGGAGAUGCAUUGGAUGCCUGUGACUACCUGAAACAUGAAGUUAUUCUGAUGCCAGUGCUCCAGCUGUGACCAGCAAUCAUUAUGGAGUCCAUUAUUCCUAUUACUGAUUGAGACCCUGGUGAUUGCUAUGAUCUCAUUUGCUUCUGGAAAACUACCUGAAUGCCAAUGUCCAUACAGACAACUGAUGUCAUAUUGAGUGUUCUGAGAUGACACUGGAGAACAGAUUGAUGGCUGAGAUCCUAAGUGUCACAGGGAAUUCUGUUGAUGUUCCUGACAAAAACAUGUAGUCUGUGAUGUCUAUCAUGGAAUGUAUCUUGAUGCCUGUGAUCCUACCUUUAACAAGAAGCUAUGUUGAUAUCAGUGAUACAUUCUGUGACCAGCAAUCAUGAAGGAGUCCAUUAUUCCUAUUGGUGAUGGAGAUCCUGGAAUGGCUAUGAUCUACAUUUCUGCUUGAGAACCUGAUAAAUUCCAAGGUUCUUAUUGAUGCCUUCUAGCAUACUGAGGUAAGUGUUCUUAGUUGGCCCUGGAUAUCAUAUUGAUGUCUGAGAUCCUACCUCCCACAGGAAAUUCAGAAGAUGUCAUGGGUGCAUGCAUGUAGCUCCUGCUGUUAAUCAUCAUUACCACCCCAAGAAGUGGAAGUGAUGCCUAAUAUCUAUCCUGCCACUGGAGAAGAGGUUUAUAAUCAUAAUUUCAUCUGCUGUUCGAAUUGUUGCUGAUGUCACUGAAAUAUACCUGGCAAGAGACACCACAGUAUUGCCCAUCAUCCAUACUGCUUUUGACAAAGUUGUCAGUGAUCUCUGAUUCCACUGGGAACCAUGCUAAUAUCACUAAUCCAAAGUGCCUACAGCAACUUGGAUGGUGUGAAUCAUCCAUCCUGUACCAGGAGCUAUGUUGAAACCCAUAGAAUAUAUUGCUUCUGAAGACAUGAUUAUUGUUAAUGGUACCUGAAUCCAUCAAAGUAAGGUGAAGUUCAAGUUCAAUAGUGCUGCCAAUGGUAAUGUUUAGUUAUAUUUUCUGACAUAUGUUAUGUUGAGAGCAUAUAAAUUGUGGUGAUGUACACUGGUGUAUGUCCAUAAUACCUCAGGCCUCCAACAGCCAUGCAAGUAAUACCUGCUGCCAUUAGGGAUAGGAGUUUAUCCAACUGCCAAUGGAAUUAUUACUGAUAUCUGUUUUCCAUUCUUCUGCUCAAUUUAUGAGAAUAUUCUUGCCCUCUAUAACAAUUUUGAUGUCAUGAUGCAUCCUGCCACUAGAGAAGAGGUUUAUGUUCAUGACCAUACUUCUCCUCUGAAACUAUUUUGAUGCUCCCUAAUACUUUGUGGCAACUGACUCUACUUUAUAUCCCACAACCCUGAUGCCAUAGGCAACCAGGUCAGGGGUGAAGCUUACUCCCACUUUGGACCAUUCAAUGAAACCAGAGACCACAACUGCCAAGGGAAGUAUAUUGAUAUCACUCAUCCAUGAUACCACUGGUAACCAUGUUGAGAUCCAUAGUCAAUGUUUGUAGGUGGAAUGGCUUAGCAACAAAUGUUGCCUUUGACGAGCUCCUUGGCUGCUGAGAUCCCUUGGCCACUAGAGUCUAUUGUAAAGAUCAUUGUCAUUAUGGCUGCCUAAGUUUAUAAACAGGAAAGAGCCGUAUACUAUUACUGUCAUCACCUUUGAUGUCAGUGAUCAUAUCUUCAUUUUGAAGUUCUGCUGAUAUCAUUGUAUGCUCUAAUCAGCCAGCGUGAUAGAGGCCAUUGUUCCUAUUACAUAUGGAAAACCUAAUGAUGACUAGAAUCUGUGUUGCUUCUGGAGAAACUUCUGAAUUCCAAGGACCUUGGGACCAAUAUCAUCCAAGGUCAUAUUGAGGGUAAGUGUUGUUAGCUGACAAAACUAAUCUCUGAGAUCCUACCCACCACAGGGAAUUCUACUGAUGUUCCUGAUGCAUGCAUGUAGCUCCUGAUGUGAAAAAACAUUGUAUUUUGAUGCUUAUGAUCCUACCUGUAACAAGAAGUUGUGCUGAUACCAGUGCUGCAUGUGGUGACUAGAAAUCAUGAUGGUGUCCAUUAUUCCUAAUGCUGAUGGUGAUGGCUCUUAUUUGUGUUGCUGCUUGAGAAUCCAAUGAAUCCCAAGGUCCAUACUGAUGCCCAUGAUCAUUUUGAUGUAAAUAUUUUUAGCUGGUACUGGAGAUCCGAUUGUUAUCUAGAAGCCUACCCGAAACAGGAAAAUUGGUUGAUGUUCCUUAUACAUGUGUGUAGCCCCCCAUUUUAAACAUGUAAUAAAUAUUGAUGCCUGUGAUCCUGCCUGAAACAUGAAGCUGUUUUGAUGUCAGCACUGUUUGAUGACCAGCAAUCAUGAUGGAAUCUAUUAUUUCCAUUGCUAAUGGACACACUGGUGAUGGCUAUGAUCUAUGCUUUUGCUUGAGAACCCGAUGAAUCCAAAGGUCUGUAAUGAUGUGGUAGGUGAUAUUGAGUGUUAGUUCUGGUGCUAAAGGUCAUAAUGAGGCAAGUCCUGUGUGUUCCUACUGGAGACAUGUGAUGCUAGUGAUGCUAGUGAUGUUGAUGCUAGUGAUCAUGUGUGAAACCUGAAGCUGUGUUGAUGUCAGUGCUGCAUGCUAUAACCAGAAAUCAUGAUGGAGUCUAUUAUUGUGAUGGCUAUGAUCUGUGCUGCUUCUGGAGAACAUGCUAAAUUCUGAGGUCCAUACUGACACAUGAGGUCAUAGUGAGGUAAGUGUUCUUAUCUGGCACGUGAGAUCAGAUUGAUUUAUGAGAUCCAACUUGCCAUAGGAAAUUCUGUUCGUGUCCCUGAUGCAUACAUGUAGAACCUACUAUCAACCAUGAAACACACAAUAUCCUUACUACCACCAUAAGUGCUAGUUUUGUCAAUAAUAUAUCCUGUCACUGGAGAAGGGUUUGUGACCAUAAUUUCUUCUCUCCUGUGAAUCAGUGCUGAUGGCACUGAUAUAUACCUGGCAGCAGACACCAUGGUAUUGUCCAAGAUAAUUGAUGCCAAUGGCAAACUUAUUGUCAGUGAUCCUAGCUUCAUGGGGUACCAUGUUUAUGUCACUAAUGCAAAGAGGCUGCAGAGACUUUGAUUAUGUGAGUCAUACAUGCUGCCUCUAGUAGCCAUGUUGAAAUCCAUAGUCAGUGUUGGUGCUGAAGACAUUGUGGAUGUUAAGAAUCCCUGAGAUCAUCAGAAUCUACAAUGAAAUUCAGUCAAUAAUGCUGUCUUGGAUCAUGUUGAGUUACAUGUUCUGAGACAAGAUAUAUGUUGAGUAUGUAUUUAUAAAAGUCAGACACCACUGUGUGUCUAUAAUUCUUCUGGUCUCUAGUAGCCAAUAUGUCAUUGAGCCCUUAUGACAUUUGUGACCACAUUAAUAUGACUUUAUUAAUUGCCAACGGAAUCACUACUGAUGCUUAUUAUCUAUGCUUCUGCAGAAAAUCUAAGAAGUAUCUUGCAUUCAUAAGUAAUUUGAUGCAAUGAUUCACUCUACAACUAGAAAUAAGGUUUCUCUAUAUGGUCAUACCUGCACUUUGAAAGUAUUUUCAUGUCCUUUGUACUUCCUGGCAAUGGACACCAUGUUAUCUCACAGAUCCCUGCUGCCAUAGACAACCAGAUCAUGAGUGAUCCCUAUUCCCACUUUGGACCAAAUUGAUAACAUCUGUGAUCCCAACUACCAAGGGAAAUACUGACAUUACUGAUAAUAAUCCAUGUUGUCACUGAUAAUCAUGUUGACAUCCAUAAUCUGUGUGGUCAUUGCAAAUAGCAAUGUUAAGAAUCCCUGAGACCAUCAGAAUCUAUAAUGAAGUUCAGUCAAUAGUGCUGCCUUUGAUAAUGUUGAGUUACAUGUUCUGAGAUAUGUUAUGUUGAGGUCAUACAUAUAGUCACACCAGACACCACUGUAUGUCCAUGAUAUUUCAGGCCUCUAGUUAAAUCAACCAGAAGGAUCUAUUGUGAAUUCCACGGUAAUUCAAUCCCUGUCUAAAGUCAAAGUGAGGUAAGUGUUGUGUGCUGCUACUGGAGACAUGUUUGAUGUCUGUGAUCCUAACGGCAACCUGAAGCUAUGUUGAUGGCAAUGCUGAAUCAUGAUGGACUCCAGGAUUCCUAUUGCUGAUAGAGACCAUGGUUAUGGCUAGGAUCUCUGCUGCUAUUUAAGGACAUGUUAAUUCUAAGGUCUAUACUGACAGUUGAGGUGAUAUUGAGGUAUGUGUUCUGAGUUGGCACUAGAGAUCACAUUAAUAUCUGAGAUCCUGCCUGCUACAGGAAAUUCUGUUGAUGUCCCUGAUGCAUGCAUGAAUCCCCUGAUGUAAACCAUGAGUUCACUGAUAUAUACAUCAUUGGAAGAGACAGCACUGUAUGUCUAUAUUCUUUAAUGCCACAAGCAGCCAUAUUGUCAGUGAUUCUUUCCCCACUUGGGACCACAUUAAUAUGAAUGAUUCCAAUUGUCAUUGGAAUCUAUACUGAUGUGAGUGAUGCAUGCUUCUGUCACCUGUGAGAAUGUUCUUUAUGAGAAGUAUACUCGUAGCUAUAAUAAUUUUGAAGUCAAUGAUUCAUUCUGACACUAUAGAUAUUAUUACUUCUCAUGGUCCUCCCUGCCCUAUGAAACUACCAUGAUGUUCCUGAUACUUCCUGGCAAUUGACAUCAUAGUAUAUCCAAGAUUCCCUAAUGCUACAGGCAACCAGGAUUUUAAUGAUCCCUAUUGAUACUUUGGACUAAAUGUGAUAUCAAUUGUCCUAUUUGCUAAGAGAAAUAUAUUGAUUUUACUCACCUGUUUUACUGUUUAUAACCACAUUGAGAUCCAUAGUCAGUGCUGUUUCUAAAGACCUUCUUGAUGUCUAUGAUCAAUGUGGCCAGCGUGUCAAUUGUGAAGUUCAUGGUCACAACUGCUUCCAAAGAUCAUAAUGAGGAAGACCUUAUUGAUGACAAGGAUCUGUGCUGCUGCAUGAGAACAGGCUGAAUUCCAAGUUCUAUACUGAUGUGCAGGGUCAUAUUGAGACCUCAUUAUGAGUAAUAUCCUUUCUGCCACAAGAAGAAAUUUGAUAUAAUUGAUUCAUCCUGCUACUGGAGAAGAGACUUAUGUUCAUAAUUUCUUCUACCCUCUGAAUCAACACUGAUGUCAGUGAUACAAUUGUCAACAGAUAUCAUACUAUAUCUAUAGUCCCUGCUGCAAUAGCAAGCAUCAUAUUAAAUAUUUGUGCUGCCAUUUUGGACCAGGAUGAUAUCAGUUACCACAACUGCCAACAGAAAUAUAGUGAUGUCACUCAUCCAUGCUUCUACCUGUAAAUAUAUUACUAUCCAUAGAUGUUGCUGCCUCUGAAGAGCUUUGUGAUGUCUGUUAUCCAUGGUGCUAGAAGAGUCUGUCUUGAAGUUCAUGGUCGAUAAUACUGCCUAAGUCAUGUUGAUGUAUGUGUACUAUGCUGCCACCAGAGACGUGUUUUAUGACUGUGACCUGACUUGCCUCCUGAAGCAGUGUUGAUGUCAUGGCUGCAUACUGACAUCACUAAUUGUGAUGGUGUUUAUUGUUCCAGUGGCAGGUAGGACCUGCCCUAUGAAACUAACAUGUACCAAGGGAUAAAUGCAUGCAUUAAGGACAUGUACCAGUACAACAAAACACAGGAGUGUAUGAAAUGCCUUUUAUGCAUGCAUGAAGCCCCUGCUGACUAAUCAUAACUCUUUUGACUAUAUUAUGCAUAAGAUCCUCACUGAAAUCAGAAGAAUUGUUCAAGAUGUCAUUGAUCCAUCCUGACAAUGGAGAAGAUGUUUAUGUUAAUAUUCUCUCUUGCCCUCUGAAUCUAUACCAAUGUCCAUGAUAUGCUCAGAAACAGAUACAAUGGUAUUGCCCAAGAUAAAUGCUGCCACAGGUAACCUUGAUUUUAGUGAUCCCUGUUGCAAAUGAGUACAAUGUUAAUAUCACUAAUUCAAAGUGCCACCAGAAACUAUGCUGAUGUCCAUCAUCAAUGAUAACACCGGCAUCAAGGUUGAAUGCCAUAGUCCAUGUUGGUUCUGAAGAGACUGAUAAUGUAAAGGAAACCUGUUGCUACCAAAGUCUAUGGUGAAGUUCAUAGUCAAUAUUGCUAACUAAGGUUUUGUUGAGUUAACCUUUCUGUGAUAUGUUGAGGUCAGUGAUACAUUAAGGCAACAAACACCAUUGUAUGCCCAUGAAUUUUGAUGCAAUGAGCAGCUAUAAUGUCAGUGAUCACUGGUGACACAUGUGACCACAUUAAUCUGAGUGAUUCCAGCUGCCACCAGAACCUAUACUGAUGUCUGUGAUCCAUUUUUCUGCCAUCUGAGACUAUGUUAUAUAAUAAAUAUAUGCUGCCAGCUGUACCACAUUUUAUGUCAAGGAUCCAUCCUGCCAAUAGAAAUGAAGUUUCUGUUCAUAGUCUGAUCUGUCCUCUGAAACUGCAUCAAUGUUACUGAUACCUUCUAGAAGCAAACACUAUGGUGUAUCCUAGAUCACUGAGGCCUCUGGCCCACCAGCAACCAUGAUGAUGUCCAUUAUUCCUAUUGAGGUCCUACCUGCCACAGGAAACUAUGGUGAUGUCCCUGACGUAUGAUUGUAGUUGCUUUGUAGAGCAUGCCAUGUAUAAGAUCCUAACUGUCACCAGAAUAGUUAUUGAUAUAAAUUCUGCAACCUUAUAGAUACUUUCCAGCUGUAACUAUUUUGAUGUUGAGGAUCUAUGCUGGAACUAGAGAAGAGGUUUCAGUAUAUGAUCUGAACUUCCAGUGAAACUAUGAUGUCAAUGACAACUCCACAGUAACAAAAAUUACAGUAUAUCCCGGAUCCAUUCUGUCACAAGUUACAAGAUGUUAGUGAUCCCAGGUCCCGCUAUGGAUUGGGAUGAUUAUAUUAGCGAUCCCACUUUUCCAGUGGAAGCAAUGUUCAUGUCAGUGCUACCUGUUGUCAUCAGCAAACAAUAUGAUGUCCUUCAUUGCUAUUGAGAUUCUACCUGCUACAAGAAACUAUGGUGAGGUCCCUGAUGCGUGCAUUUAUCCCUUGCUACAGACUAUCAUGUAUACUACCACCAGAAGUGAUGUUUGUGUUAGUGAUCCAUCCUGUGACAUUAGAAGAGAUUUAUGCCAAUAGACUCUUUCCCUCUGAGUAUAUACUGACGUCACUGACAUACCUAGCAACAUAUAUGGUAGGAUAGCACAAGAUCCAUGCUGCUACAGGCAACCUCAUCAAUGUUCCCUGUUGCCACUGGAAAUUAUACAAUCAUCACCAAUCUAACCUGCCCUCAGAAAUUAUGUUGAUGUCCAUCAUCCAUGAUGCCAACAGUACCCAUGUUACACAUAGUCCAUGUUGCUUCUGAAGAGAAUGUUAAUAUUAAGGAGUUCUCCAGCCACCAGUGUCUAUUCUGAAGUUUAUAGUCAAUAUUGUUGCCUGAGGUCAUGUUGUGAAGUGUUCUGA